CCACGCCGUAAACGAUGAGUGUUAGGUGCCUGGUAAAAACUGGGUACCGCAGCUAACGCAUUAAACACUCCGCCUGGGGAGUACGCACGCAAGUGUGAAACUCAAAGGAAUUGACGGGGACCCGCACAAGCAGCGGAGCAUGUGGUUUAAUUCGAAGCAACGCGAAGAACCUUACCGGGGCUUGACAUAUAUCUGACCCUCUUAGAGAUAAGAGUUUUCUUCGGAACAGAUAUACAGGUGGUGCAUGGUUGU
rnacentral:rRNA from 1 species